AUGACCUUGACUAUUUUGUGCCUCUUUCUUUUGUCCUGAAAGGGAUAAAAACUGAUAUGGAAGCCCAGCUACCCGGCCUGUUCUGUUAGAUAAACACUUGGAUUUAUCUUGCCCUUGUGAUACAGAGUGUGGCAUCACAGAAAGACUUGUAUCCUUAUUGAUGGAACUAUUUGCAGUUGAAGUUGAGCAACUAACUUCUUCAGGUCUAGAAAUAUAUAACGGUGUAUCCAU
rnacentral:lncRNA from 1 species